rnacentral:rRNA from 1 species
GACGAACGCUGGCGGCGUGCUUAACACAUGCAAGUCGAACGGAAAGGCCCUGCUUUUGUGGGGUGCUCGAGUGGCGAACGGGUGAGUAACACGUGAGUAACCUGCCCUUGACUUUGGGAUAACUUCAGGAAACUGGGGCUAAUACCGGAUAGGAGCUCCUGCUGCAUGGUGGGGGUUGGAAAGUUUCGGCGGUUGGGGAUGGACUCGCGGCUUAUCAGCUUGUUGGUGGGGUAGUGGCUUACCAAGGCUUUGACGGGUAGCCGGCCUGAGAGGGUGACCGGCCACAUUGGGACUGAGAUACGGCCCAGACUCCUACGGGAGGCAGAAGUGGGGAAUAUUGCACAAUGGGCGGAAGCCUGAUGCAGCAACGCCGCGUGCGGGAUGACGGCCUGCGGGUUGUAAACCGCUUUCGCCUGUGACGAAGCGUGAGUGACGGUAAUGGGUAAAGAAGCACCGGCUAACUACGUG